rnacentral:rRNA from 1 species
UUUAUAUUGAGAGUUUGAUCCUGGCUCAGGACGAACGCUGGCGGCGUGCUUAACACAUGCAAGUCGAGCGAUGAAGCUCCU